GGAAAUCCGGCCCCGCACAGCUGUGAGCGAGACUGCGGGCCUCGGGGCGUAGACCUGCUCGGUCUAGCCAGAGUGUUUGCCUCCUGAUUGAGAACUUGAGUGACAAUAAGUCAGAGCAGGACGGCUUCCAGGAAGAGUGAAGACAGCUAUCUGGGGAGUCACCGCCUCUGUGGCCAGAAGAGGGCAGCACAGCGCCAUCCUGUAGAUGGGCGACUGGCAGGAUUACUUGGCUAAGACGGUCCGCAGCUUGAUAGAGCCUGUGCGCUCCAGAGGAGCAGGAACUGUUGUGUUGACCGUUGUAUCUCCCAGGCCUGGUAUAAAGGAGACAGAAUUUUGGACUCUG